rnacentral:rRNA from 1 species
CUACGGGGUGCACCAGUGGGGAAUAUUGGACAAUGGGGGCAACCCUGAUCCAGCCAUGCCGCGUGUGUGAAGAAGGCCUUUUGGUUGUAAAGCACUUUAAGCGAGGAGGAGGCUACUGGUACUAAUAUUACCAGCUAGUGGACGUUACUCGCAGAAUAAGCACCGGCUAACUCUGUGCCAGCAGCCGCGGUAAUACAGAGGGUGCGAGCGUUAAUCGGAAUUACUGGGCGUAAAGCGCGCGUAGGCGGUUUGUUAAGUCGGAUGUGAAAUCCCCGGGCUCGACCUGGGAAUUGCAUUCGAUACUGGCAAGCUAGAGUAUGGGAGAGGAAGGUAGAAGUCCAGGUGUAGCGGUGAAAUGCGUAGAGAUCUGGAGAAAUACCGAUGGCGAAGGCAGCCUUCUGGCCUAAUACUGACGCUGAGGUGCGAAAGCAUGGGGAGCAAACAGGAUUAGAUACCCGUGUAGUC